UGGGGAAUCUUGCGCAAUGGGCGAAAGCCUGACGCAGCAACGCCGCGUGAGCGAAGAAGGCCUUCGGGUUGUAAAGCUCUUUCGGUUGGGAAGAAGGUGUGAGGGGUGAAUAAUCUCUGACAUGGAUGGUACCAAAAGAAGAAGCACCGGCUAACUUCGUGCCAGCAGCCGCGGUAAUACGAAGGGUGCAAGCGUUGUUCGGAAUCAUUGGGCGUAAAGGGUUCGUAGGCGGGAGCUUAAGUUUGUUGUGAAACCCCUGGGCUCAACCUGGGACGUGCAGCGAAGACUGGGUUUCUUGAGUAGCGGAGAGGACAAGGGAAUUGCUGGUGUAGGAGUGACAUCCGUAGAGAUCAGCAGGAACACCGGAGGCGAAGGCGCUUGUCUGGCCGCGCACUGACGC
rnacentral:rRNA from 1 species